GACGAACGCUGGCGGCGUGCUUAACACAUGCAAGUCGAACGGAAAGGCCCUGCUUUUGUGGGGUGCUCGAUUGGCGAACGGGUGAGUAACACGUGAGUAACCUGCCCUUGACUUUGUGAUAACUUCAGGAAACUGGGGCUAAUACCGGGUAGGAGCUCCUGCUGCAUGUGGUGGGUUGGUAAGUUUCGGCGGUUGUGGAUGGACUCGCGGGUUAUCAGCUUGUUGGUGGGGUAGUGGCUUACCAAGGCUUUGACGGGUAGCCGGCCUGGGAGGGUGACCGGCCACCUUGGGACUGAGAUAGGGCGCAGACUCCUACGGGCGGCAGCAGUGGGGAAUAUUGCACAAUGGGCGGAAGCCUGAUGCAGCAACGCCGCGUGCGGGAUGACGGCCUUCGGGUUGUAAACCGCUUUCGCCUGUGACGAAGCGUGCGUGACGGUAAUGGGUAAAGAAGCAACGGCUAACUACGUG
rnacentral:rRNA from 1 species